rnacentral:rRNA from 1 species
UACGUAGGGGGCAAGCGUUGUCCGGAUUUAUUGGGCGUAAAGAGCUUGUAGGCGGUUUGUCGCGUCUGCUGUGAAAUUUCGGGGCUCAACCCCGAACUUGCAGUGGGUACGGGCAGACUAGAGUGUGGUAGGGGAGACUGGAAUUCCCGGUGUAGCGGUGAAAUGCGCAGAUAUCGGGAGGAACACCGGUGGCGAAGGCGGUUCUCUGGGCCUUACCUGACGCUGAGGAGCGAAAGCGUGGGGAGCGAACAGG